AUCUUAGACAAUGGGGGAAACCCUGAUCUAGCCAUGCCGCGUGAGUGAUGAAGGCCUUAGGGUUGUAAAGCUCUUUCAGCUGGGAAGAUGAUGACGGUAACCACAGAAGAAGCUCCGGCUAACUUCGUGCCAGCAGCCGCGGUAAUACGAAGGGGGCGAGCGUUGUUCGGAAUCACUGGGCUUAAAGCGUACGUAGGCGGCCAUCCAAGUCAGGAGUGAAAUCCCGGGGCUCAACCCCGGAAUUGCUUUUGAAACUGGACGGCUAGUGUCCCGGAGAGGUUGGCGGAAUUCCGAGUGUAGAGGUGAAAUUCGCAGAUAUUCGGAGGAACACCAGUGGCGAAGGCGGCCAACUGGACGGGUACAGACGCUGAGGUACGAAAGCGUGGGGAUCAAACAGG
rnacentral:rRNA from 1 species